UGCGAUCCAGGUCCCGUCUGCAGGCCGCCGGGUCCGCUGGCCCCCCGCUUCCGGGUCGCCGGACGCACCACGCCUCCCGCCCUUGGUACCCGAACUACGUGCAACCUUCGCGGUCAAUUAGCUGGGAGGGAGCUGGUUUACUGCCGAUGGGCGGGACAGAUGCUUGAUGAAGCAAGUGAUUUUCUCUUACUGUCAGCAUGUCUCUUCUGUUCACCUCUGGAGAACUCAGGACUGAAAGGCAUGUGACCUGGAUUGGGAGGAGAGAGGAUAGUAGCUCAAGGGAAUAACUAGGCGUGGAGAAAGGCUCAGUAAUCUGAUGAAAAGCAAAGUGCUAAACAGAACACACAGUGAGCUGCACUUUGAAAGACCAGGUCACCAACCAAGCCAGAAACAGAAACGGCAUGCAUCUUUAAUCUGGAGCCAAUGACGAGCACAUAUGAAUGACUGUGGACAGGACAAGAGAUCAGUGAUUUUUUUGGAGAGUUUUCCAGGAUGGUAGAAAGUCAGACGUUGGUGCUUGCUUCUUGAUGACGUUGUAAAAUGCCUCCUCAUCUUCCUCUCUUCCUAUGGGCCACCUGACUCCACUAGCACAGGCAUGGGAUUGUACCCUUUCCCUGGAAGUAAGUCAGUCAAGAGUAGGUUCAUUCAUUCGAGCAGAUUUGUCCACAUCAGUAUACAAAGAAGAUACUGGUUUGCCAUGCUGGUCUGUACUGAUUCAAAAAAGCACUGCCCGUCUUGAACAGAUUCAGUGUCUCCUAUGAGCUGGGAAAGGACUAUUGAGGUUGCUUUGAAAUGACAUCUUAAAGGGCAUUUCUAUUCUGUCUAAGCUGUUCAAGUGGAAAAGUCAAGAGCUUAAAACCUACAUAAGGACUUGGUGAAGGCUGAUGUGUGUGUGUGGGAGGGCACAUGUGUGUUUAUAUCCUGCCAUACUCACUCACACUUACACCUGUACCACCCCCAAAAGAUGAGUACACUUCUAGACUUUCUCAGAGACAAUUCCACACCCUCCACCAAUUAUGAGUUCCAGGAGCUUACAAAAUUUAUUAAGAAGUUAAAAUUUUCAGUAACGUUUAUUCAUUUUCUGGGUGUUCCAAAUACAGUGCAAACUCAUGCAGAGCUUGUAAACUAGUAUGCUCAUACGUGGGCCUCCGUGCUAACAAACUUCUGCCUUCACUUGAAACCUACACAGCGUAAUAGCUGAAAUUUCCACCCGUCCUUCAGUAUAGCUUUCCACAGCAACCAGAAAAAAACACGACCAAAUAUCUCACAUGCUUUGUCUAGCCCCAAGUCAGGCUGAGUUCCAGGAAGAAAAGGUGAUGGAGAAAGGGGAGUGGCUGCAGUAAGCCCUAACGUUAUGCAGAAAGACCUCAACAAAAUGCAAAAAACAUCAAGUAAAAGAUUUCAUCAACGUUUAAGACAUAAGCACCGAAGACAUCUAUAGUUUUAAAAGACAACAAAUUAGAAGAUAUCUACCACAUAUAUAAAAAUAAUUUGUGUCCAGAAUAUUCCAAGAAUUCCUACGAAUCAGUGAGAAAAAGACAAAAUAAUAGGAAAACAGCAAAGGAUAUAAAUAGGCAGUUCUCUGAAUAAGAAUUACAAAUGGUCAAUAAACAUAUGUAAAGACGCUCAAUAUGAAAAGAUGUUUAACCUCACUAGUAAUCAAGGAAACAAGAAUUAAAACAAGAUAAAUUAGGUAUAUAUUUUUAAGCCAGCGGAAUAGGGAAACUA